AUGCACUACACCUGUGAAGCAGGGCUGCUUUAAAAUAAGCGAGAACAGAUGGGUGAGAGCAGGAGCGUGAAGAGUGGGAAACAAGUCUGCAUUUGUUUUAGGUAAUGCCAACGGUGCAGAAAUUCAUCAUUCACCACCUGGGCUAUCAGUUUGUCGAGUACCGGUAUUUAUUCUUUUCCCAGGAGCCGACCCUAUGGCAGCACUCGUUAAGUUUGCUGACGAUCAGCUCCUAGGUUUCCUGGAGAUAGAUUUCUUCCACCGCUCGCCUGCGACCACCAGCGUUCUUAGCCGUUGAGCGGCAGCGAAGGAAGGAGCAUGGAGGUUGCUGCAGGAGCUUAACCCAGAGGCAGCACAUCGGGAUUUCAGUAUCUGGCUCACCAGCUACCCGUCUGCCACGUUUCCGGCAUCCGUUCUUCAGAACGGAGUGAAGAUGACAAACGAAGCGCCGAAGGGUUUACGGGCAAACAGACUUCGUUCACAUCUGAUGGAUCACGUACCUGACCCUAAUUUUUAAAAUAGCUGCAAAAAACCGGAGGUGCCAUACAAUGCUUUUUGCUACAUGACCAGGGAAGGUAAGUAUGUUGGCAGAGUCACUGACAACUGGGAUUGUUGCGUACUACUUAGCGUUUUGAAGACAUUUUUCUCAGCAGAAGUCAUUACAAGUAGAGAUGACGAAUUUGAUUUGAGUGGCCUUCACCGUGUUCUUCCUGAAGGUGACAUCUGGAGUAAACUUCCCUGUGACUUGGACAAUGUGAGGAGAAGAUAAUGAACCACUUAAAGUGACAGUAUGAAUCACAGAAUGGUGGAAUCAUGGAGUCACAAUGUUGGAAACCAUGUGCAGGAUGAUCCAGUACAAUUGUGUGUCACCAUAAGCACUCAACCAUAUCAUGCAGCAUGUUGUCCAUGUGUCUCAUUGAGUGAGUCUGGGAAUGGGACUAUGUAUAUAUAAUUGUGUUCCUAUUCCAGAAAUUGGACAAUUCAACAGGAAUCAAUAAUAAAGUGUCAAUGUACAGUAACACAUGAGGGGACAUGGAAUGUUGCACUAUUUCCUAUUCCAUAACCAUA